UGGGGAAUAUUGGACAAUGGGCGAAAGCCUGAUCCAGCAAUGCCGCGUGAGUGAUGAAGGCCUUAGGGUUGUAAAGCUCUUUUACCCGGGAUGAUAAUGACAGUACCGGGAGAAUAAGUCCCGGCUAACUCCGUGCCAGCAGCCGCGGUAACACGGGGGGAGCAAGCGUUGUUCGGAAUCACUGGGCGUAAAGGGCGUGUAGGCGGUCAGGUAAGUGGGAUGUGAAAUGCCCCGGCUCACCCGGGGACCUGCAUCCCAAACUGCUCGGCUUGAGUAUGGGAGAGGAUGAGGGAAUUCCUGGUGUAGCGGUGAAAUGCGUAGAUAUCAGGAGGAACACCGGUGGCGAAGGCGCUCAUCUGGCCCAAUACUGACGCUGAGGCGCGAAAGCUAGGGGAGCAAA
rnacentral:rRNA from 1 species